rnacentral:tRNA from 4 species
UAUUUAUAUAAUAUAAUAAGUAUAUAUGACUUCCAAUCAUAAAGUCUAUAAAAUAUAGUAUAAAUAA